rnacentral:snRNA from 1 species
GUGCUUGCUUCGGCAGCACAGAUACUAAAAUUGGAAUGAUACAGAGAAGAUUAGCAUGGCCCCUGUGCAAGGAUGACAUGCAAAUUCGUGAAGCGUUCCAUAUUUUU